GCCCUGUAUUGCACUCUGGCAGCAACUAGCUGUAUAUUGGGCUACCGGAUAUUACCUGUCACUUCCAAAUAAGUGCAGGAUAAAAUUUAAAUUUUAUUUUAUUAUUUUAGGCCAACUGACUCUAAGCAACACCUGGAGAACUAAAGAGAACACUCCUGGCAGACAGUAAAAGGGAACAAGUGGCAAAGUGGCUCUAUUUUGGGGUUUUGUUGUUACUGUCAUUUUCAGAUCAAAGGGACUUUAGAUCUCGAUAUUUCCUAGCUAAAUUACAAAAUCCAAUUCAGGGCAUUUUGCUUCUCCAGGUCCCUCAUUUCAACAAGAACAUUGGAUUUUCUGAUGCAGACCCCGGAGAGCAUUUGCAAAGAAGCUUGUCAUCACAAACAAUUAAAUUGGACAAACAACAGCAGCUCCAUUAUUGGAGAGCCAGACCUGGAGCUCCCUUGUGCUCUUUGGACAGCAGGCUUGGACCCACCAACAUCACAAGGGCAGCUGGAGAUGGAAAGAGAUGUCCAAUAACCCCAGUGCUCUACACGUUUCAACUGAGGAUGGCAGGAUGCAGUACAAGUUGGUUAGAAGUGGAGAGAGCUGUAUGAGGAGCUCAAAAAGGAUACACCGACCCCAGAGAGGAGGGCUGCUGUCAUUGGAGGAGACCUGCGGCAGGCAAUGGGAUCCGGAAAGCCCUCCCAGCCCAUGUGUCUAGGGAUGGAAUAAGAAACACUCAAAGCCCUUGAGCUUCCUGAGAGUUUCUUCCUCUAUUAAAAGGAGAGAAUAAAAGUUCAUACAUCAUGGUAUUUUAUUGAUUGGAAAGUUAAUUGAAAACCCACUGUCACUUGGUCCUUCUCACCAUAACUAUGCAUGGUCAAUCUCACUAUUACCUUCUUUCUUUAUUAGUACGUAUUUGUAUCACAUAAUGAUUGCACUGUGGGAAGGUGGUACAUGUAAAUAUCACCUCUCAAUUCUUUUUAUGUCCCCUUCCCUCUCCUCCCCUUCCUCUGCACUUCCUUCAUCUCAUAGUUGAAAGCAACUGAGGUUCAAAGGUGAUUCAACUUGCAUGACCCUUGCAAGG
rnacentral:lncRNA from 1 species